UCCCUGGUGGCCCAGUGGUUAGGACUCAGCACUUUCACUGUUGGGCCCAGGUUCAAUCCCUGGUUGGGGAA